CCACUGCAGAGGGGUCAGGCUCUCUUGGCCAUGGGGAGCUCAUUAUUUUAGAAUAUGCCUGCACCUCUGGGAAGUGUCAGGGCACAAAACAGGGUGAAAAUAACAAACCGACACCACUCAGCAGCAAAUGCCACACAUCACAACAGGGACCUGACAAACGAAGAAAAUAACUUGGAAGGGGGAGAAAGAGUUUGAGGCUCUGAAUCUUGGCAGGGUGAGGAAGGUGAAAUUGAAGCCUCCCAAAUGUGAGUUCCUCUAAACUAGGGCACCGUCCCUGUGGUCCUGCACUUCACCCCCAUCCUUGUGUCGGGUGGUGGUGGGCUGGGGCAGGCCAGUGCAGUCACAGGGCAGACAAUGGAAGUCCUAUCAUGAGGGAGGGUCAGUUACCAGCCACACCGAAUCAUCUGAACUGAGGUCACCAACCCCAGGGUUGGAGAGAGAGAGUAGAAGUCAAGGAGAAAAGCCAAAAUGGGCCCAGACACCAGGGGAGACACUGAAGGCAGUGGGUCAGGGCAGGAGAAGCAGAGAGACAGGAGCUUAGAGAGUUCCUAAGCCCUGGGCAGCUUCUCAUGCCCUUCUCACACCUGUCACAAUGGGCUUGGAAAGGUGUGUCUCUCAUCACUGCCUGACUGGUCUCUGCUUCCUGUUCUGGUCACUGUACCCACUUCCUCUCCAGGGACCAAUUCCUCCCUCAUGCUCCACCCAUGGUUGGGGGUGGCACUGGCCUCACACCCUGGCUUCGGGUGGCAAGUGUCCCAGGCCUGGCCAAUCAGAGUAUUCCACUCGUGACCCCUGGCCAUGCCAAUAGCUAAUGCAUGAGCUGGAAAGUAAAUCCUGUUGAGAAAAAGAAAACUUGGGACGGACUGCCAGGCAGAGGCAUGACAUGAGCCUCUUGCUGCCAACAGUCAUCAUGUGGAGAGGGUCUGCCAGAGAGAGAGGAAGAUAAAUGGAAAACAAACUGUGGAGUAAGCAAGCAAGAUAAAGAAAGAAAGCGGACGGCAUUAUUUGAGCCCCUGGAGCCAGCUGUACCUGACAUUUCAGUUACACACUGAACUGGGCACCACAUGGCAGGGCGUGAGUUCCAGUGGGAGGCCCCAUGCCAGUGUUCCCCUUCUGUUCCCACUCCCAGCUCAUUCUCACACCACAAGGAACCUGAUGCACUCCAGCCUACCUCUAGAGCAGCACUACAGAACUUUCUGCAGAGAUGGAAAUGUUCUAUCUGGGGGUGAUGGCUCACACCUACAAUCCCAGCA